rnacentral:rRNA from 1 species
AGGGAAUCUUGCGCAAUGGGCGAAAGCCUGACGCAGCCAUGCCGCGUGAAUGAUGAAGGUCUUAGGAUUGUAAAAUUCUUUCACCGGGGAAGAUAAUGACGGUACCCGGAGAAGAAGCUCCGGCUAACUUCGUGCCAGCAGCCGCGGUAAUACGAAGGGGGCUAGCGUUGCUCGGAAUUACUGGGCGUAAAGGGCGUGUAGGCGGAUAUCUAAGUCGGGGGUGAAAGCCCAGGGCUCAACCCUGGAACAGCCUUCGAUACUGGAUAUCUUGAGUACGGGAGAGGUGUGUGGAACUCCGAGUGUAGAGGUGAAAUUCGUAGAUAUUCGGAAGAACACCAGUGGCGAAGGCGACACACUGGCCCGUUACUGACGCUGAGGCGCGAAAGCGUGGGGAGCAAAC